CUACGGGCGGCAGCAGUGGGGAAUAUUGGACAAUGGGCGAAAGCCUGAUCCAGCCAUGCCGCGUGUGUGAAGAAGGCCUUCGGGUUGUAAAGCACUUUCAGUGGGGAAGAAAGCCUUGGGGCUAAUACCCUCGAGGAAGGACAUCACCCACAGAAGAAGCACCGGCUAACUCCGUGCCAGCAGCCGCGGUAAUACGGAGGGUGCGAGCGUUAAUCGGAAUUACUGGGCGUAAAGCGCGCGUAGGCGGUCUGAUAAGCCGGUUGUGAAAGCCCCGGGCUCAACCUGGGAACGGCAUCCGGAACUGUCAGGCUAGAGUGCAGGAGAGGAAGGUAGAAUUCCCGGUGUAGCGGUGAAAUGCGUAGAGAUCGGGAGGAAUACCAGUGGCGAAGGCGGCCUUCUGGACUGACACUGACGCUGAGGUGCGAAAGCGUGGGUAGCAAACAGGAUUAGAUACCCCGUAGUC
rnacentral:rRNA from 1 species